rnacentral:rRNA from 1 species
UUUGCCUACGGGGCGCAGCAGUAGGGAAUUUUCGUCAAUGGGCGCAAGCCUGAACGAGCAAUGCCGCGUGAACGAGGAAGGUCUUCGGAUCGUAAAGUUCUGUUGAAGGGGAAAAAGAGCGGAGAGAGGAAAUGGUCUCCGAUUGAUAUUACCCUUCGAGGAAGUCACGGCUAACUACGUGCCAGCAGCCGCGGUAAUACGUAGGAUCCGAGCGUUAUCCGGAUUUAUUGGGUUUAAAGGGAGCGUAGGUGGACAGUUAAGUCAGUUGUGAAAGUUUGCGGCUCAACCGUAAAAUUGCAGUUGAU